AUUGAACGCUGGCGGCAGGCCUAACACAUGCAAGUCGAACGAGUGGCGGACGGGUGAGUAAUGUCUGGGCAACUGCCUGAUGGAGGGGUAUAACUACUGGAAACGGUAGCUAAUACCGCAUACCAUCGGAUGUGCCCAGAUGGGAUGAGCGAGUAGGUGUGGUAAAGGCUCACCUAGGCGACGAUCCCUAGCUGGUCUGAGAGGAAGACCAGCCACACUGGAACUGAGCAACGGUCCAUGCUCCGACGUGAGGCAGCAGUGGGGAAUAUUGGGCAAUGGGCGCAAGCCUGAUGCAGCCAUGCCGCGUGAAUGAAGAAGGCCGUCGGGUUGUAAAGUACUUGCAGCAGGGAGGCGUUACCCAACGAAGAAGCACCGGCUAACUCCGUGCCAGCAGCCGCGGUAAUUC
rnacentral:rRNA from 1 species